GCCAGCAGCUAUAUCACCCUGCAGCUCUCAACUGGCUACCCAUUGAAGUUAAGCAUGUGUGAGCCUUGUCAGUACCUGGAUGGGAGACCUCUUGGGAAGCUAUGGUUGCUGCUGGAA
rnacentral:rRNA from 1 species